GCCGCGCACCGGGGCGAGCAAGGGAGCCGUGACAGGUGACAGUGCGCAUGGCCAAUCAGACGCGAGUGUGGCCUCCCGGCGUCCCGCCCACUCCGGCGCCUGCGUCAUUUUGGGCACCAUGGCAACGAAGUAAACAAGCGGGUAAAUAAUAGACCCCUGACAGCCAGAGACCCGGAGAAACAAAGACGGUGAGAAACGGAGAAACAAAGACAAAAAGACGCGCAGACCGGGAGGGAGAGAAGCAUGAAGGCCCACAGACGCUCGGGGGCAGACCAAGACGCCCUGGGGUCCCCGAAACAGAGAUGUACAGAGUCGGACACGGAAAGGGAGAGACCAGCUCACGGUUAAGAAAGGAGGGAGACCAGCCCAGGAUCAAGAAAGGGAAAGACCAGCAUGGGCUCAAGAAAAGAAAGAGACCAGCUCAGGCUCAGGAAAAGAGAGAGACCCAGAGAAAAGGAGCACUCGAGGCUGAGACAGAUCUGGACAGAGAUACAGAGACAGGGACCAGCAGACCCAGUACUGGGGAGACAAGAGGUGGAGACCCAGAGACACUGAUGCGCUAAAAUGGGUUCUACAGUUUCAAGGAGUGGAUAGAACUCAAAGAUUACCCACCCCAGGGAUUCAGGAGCUGCUGAAAUGAGGGAAAUGUGAGUGGCAGCUGGGGUGAGGGCUUUGGCAAAGCCCCAUAUAAAUGUAGCCCCCCUGGAAGGCAGGAUAGGGCCAGGAGCUGCUUCCCAUUUCAGUUUUCCAGAUAGAGGCGCUUAUGAGGAUGCCAUUUUGGUCGUUUUUGUGUGAACUGAUUUUUAAAAUGUAUAUCUGAACAGUUUAUAUAUUUUAAAUUUACAUACACCACACAUUUUGGUAUUCAGUUUUAUGAAUUUUAACUCAUAUCCACCAACAAACUCGGGACAAAGAAUAGCUCCACUGCCCAAAAAUCCUCCUGCUGCCUCUUGGUAGUCACUCCCUCCCCACCCAUAACCCCAGGAACAGCUAAUCUAAGUAGUCCACUGCUACAAUUUUGCCUUCACAGUGUCAUAUAAGUGGGAUCAUACAGUAUGUGGCCUCUUCAGAUUGGCUUUUUCACUGAACAUAAUUCCUUUGAGAGGCAUUGAAGUAGUAUGUAUCAACAGUUCAUUCCAUUUUAUUGAGAAGUAGUAUUCUAUGGUAUAUAGCAGUUUAAACCUUCUCCCACUGAGAGAUAUUAGGAUCGUUUUAAGUAUUUUGCUAUUAAAAAUAAAGCUGCUAUGAACAUUCGUGUACAGAUUUUUCUGUGAACGUAAGUUUUCACUUUUCUGGGAUAAAAGCCCAAGAGUGCAGUUUCUAGGUCACACAAUGAACACGUGCUUAUUAGUGUUGUAAGAAGCUGCCACACUCUCAUGCAGAGUAGCUGGACCAUUUUACACUCCCACCACCAAUGAAUGUGUGAAUCCACUUCACAUUUUUAUCAGCAUUUGUGUUUUGCUAUUUUUUAUUUUGGCCAUUCUGAUAGGUAUGUACUGAUAUAUCAUUGUGGUUUCAAUUUGCAUUUCCCUUAAUUGCUAACAAGUUUGAGCACACUUUAAUGAUUUUUUUGGCAUUUGUAUACCCUCUUCAUUAAAGUAUCUGUUCGUAUCUUUUGCCCAUUUUCUAAUUUUUAAAAAAAUUGCUCAGUUUUGAAAGCUA
rnacentral:lncRNA from 10 species